GAGACCUCCCACAUGUCUUCUGCUCUAUCUAUACAUUAGGAGACUGUCUAGGCAUUAAAGUGAUAUACACAACAUUCUGGAAUCAACAGGGGGAGACCAUGCAGGGGAGCCCUAAGGUCACUGAGGGUCUCAACCUGACAGGGCCUAAGGGAUUGCAGCUCCAGUCAUUGAUUUGUGUACCGUGUUGUGAAGUGAAAUGUUUAGCAGAAAUGCUGAAAGUAGAAGCUCAGAAGAAUGGCGAUUCUGCUCCCAAACCCCAUUACCGUAUCUACGACGCAUAGCUGGUGUCAGCAGAAUAGGUCAUCUUUGUUCCUACUCUGGAAAGUUCCUGACAGGGACAGAGGUGUCAGCAGAGAGCACUGUGGUCAGACUAAAAGGGAAUUUGAAAAGAAAAGAACUCCCUAUGUAGUAUAGAGCGGCUGAUAAGUACUGGAAGGAUUAAGAUUUUUAAAAAGAACUUGUAUACAGAUCUGCUUAACUUUCUGGAGCCAAGCAGAAAAACUGAACAAUUCCUGACAGUAACAAAGAAAAAAAGAGUGUCCGUCGUGUUCAACCUGAACCUCUGCUGGGUUGAUCCAGAGGAAGCCAAAUGU